GAUGAACGCUAGCGGGAGGCUUAACACAUGCAAGUCGAGGGGCAUCACGGGUAGCAAUACCUGGUGGCGACCGGCAGACGGGUGAGUAACGCGUAUGUAACCUACCCUCUACAGGGGGAUAACCCGGAGAAAUUCGGACUAAUAUCCCAUAAUGAUAUCUGGGGGCAUCUUCGGAUAUUUAAAGUUCCGGCGGUACAGGAUGGGCAUGCGUAACAUUAGCUAGUUGGUAAGGUAACGGCUUACCAAGGCUUUGAUGUUUAGGGGUCCUGAGAGGGUGGUCCCCCACACUGGUACUGAGACACGGACCAGACUCCUACGGGAGGCAGCAGUGAGGAAUAUUGGUCAAUGGGCGCAAGCCUGAACCAGCCAUCCCGCGUGCAGGAAGACGGCCCUAUGGGUUGUAAACUGCUUUUUCCAGGGAGAGAAACUUGCGUACGCGUUGCGCAAUUGACGGUACCCGGAGAAGAAGCCCCCGGCUAACUUCGUGCCAGCAGCCGCGGUAAU
rnacentral:rRNA from 1 species